rnacentral:lncRNA from 1 species
AGAAAGAAAGAGGUGACUGUUAUGGGAGACAAGAUAAGUGGGUGAAAAAUGGAGGAGGUUCUAAUCGUUGGUUUAGGCAAUGUCAUUGUUGCACUAAUUAACGUUUUCACGAUCUCUUUCUCAUCUUAUUGAAGAAAAAUUAUCACUUCUUUCCAGAAGGUAUGGACUUACGGCAAGAAUAUGCUUGAUCUCCUUCGACAACUUUUCUCUAAACAAGGCAUGACCCCCAUCAUCUUGCUUUGACAGAAUAGCAGCACCACUAUCGUGGUUAUCAUUAAAGAUGAGGUGUACCUCUUCCCACAAAGGGUGGAAAGGGGUGGCAUCACAUGCUUGGUCAAGAGAAGAAAUUUGUGUGGGAAAUCUAGUUAGUAUCUUGUCAUAUGUCCACAUCUUCUAUGAGGUAGCAUGAUGAUCUUCCUCCAUAAGAAUGAUGAAAGGGAUGCACAUGAACCUUAAGAAAUGCGACAACAGUGAGGCCAAUAAAUCUAGUGUUCUCACCUAGUAUCUUCGUCACUUUAGUAGUCACCUCUCCUCCUCCCUCCCUCUCUCUCUUUCUCUCUCCCCCCUC